rnacentral:rRNA from 1 species
GACGAACGCUGGCGGCGUGCUUAACACAUGCAAGUCGAACGGUGAAGGGGUCUGCUUUUGUGGGCCCUGGAUGAGUGGCGAACGGGUGAGUAACACGUGAGUAACCUGUCCCCUUCUUCUGGAUAACCGCAUGAAAGUGUGGCUAAUACGGGAUAUUCUGGGUCUGUCGCAUGAUGGGUCUGGGAAAGAUUGCGCCUUUGGGUGUUUUUGGUGGGGGAUGGGCUCGCGGCCUAUCAGCUUGUUGGUGGGGUGAUGGCCCACCAAGGCGGUGACGGGUAGCCGGCCUGAGAGGGUGGACGGUCACACUGGGACUGAGACACGGCCCAGACUCCUACGGGAGGCAGCAGUGGGGAAUAUUGCACAAUGGGCGCAAGCCUGAUGCAGCGACGCCGCGUGAGGGAUGGAGGCCUUCGGGUUGUAAACCUCUUUCGCCAGUGAAGCAGGCCUGCUCCUUGUGGGUGGGUUGACGGUAGCUGGAUAAGAAGCGCCGGCUAACUACGUG